CCCUAUGCCUGGCUGUUAGGCAAACUGAACUGGAUUCAUUGAUGGGCUCACCAGAGGUCGGAGAUGAGUAAGCACCAGCCUCUCCAACGUCUUCAUCAGAUUUGAGUAUAUUAGCAAGGAACAAACUUCAGCACUUUACUGUCACUUCCUGUGGGAUGCAUUGAAAUCCUUGUAGACCAGAGUAAAAGGAGUGCAGCUAUGCAUCCGACCUUGGGGCUACUGAG